rnacentral:lncRNA from 1 species
CUCGGCUUCAGUUUCGUCGUCUGUGCAGUGGGGCCGGUUGGAGCAUUGAAAAUUCAGUGAAUUGCUGCUGCAGAGCACCUGGCACGUGCAUGGCUUGAUGAAUAGUGUUGUGUAGGUCUGUGCUCAGGAUCUGAACCCGUGAACCCCGGGCCACUGAAGCAGAGUGUACAGAACUUCACCACUCCACCACUGGGCUGGCCCUUGCCUGCAACCUCUUAAUUACCACUUUCACUGACCUCUUACAAGACCUUUCUGAGUGUAGAAGUUCCCCCGCUGGUACCUGACAGACUUUUUACCUCUGGAAAGACUGGUUAAAAUAACAUAGGGGCAGGCCCCGUGGCCCAGUGGUUAAGUUCGCAUGCUCCGCUGCAGGCGGCCCACUGUUUCGUUGGUUCGAAUCCUGGGCACGGACAUGGCACUGCUCAUCGGACCACGCUGAGGCAGCGUCCCACAUGCCACAACUAGAAGGACCCACAACGAGGAAUAUACAACUAUGUGCCGGGAGGCUUUGGGGAGAAAAAGGAAAAAAAUAAAAUCUUAAAAAAAAAAAAAAGAAAAAAGAAAAAAACCUGUCAAACUAGUAUUCUACAUCCAGUGAAAAUAUCCUUUAAAAAUGAAGGCACAAUAAACAUUUUCAGAAAAAGCAAAAACUGAGAGAACUCGUCACCAGCAGACCUGCAUACAAGAAAUGCUAUAAAUAAAUAAAUAACAUAACAUAACAUAAAAUGUUUAUACGUUUGCUAAAAUAAAUCCAUUCGUGCUCAGCAGAUGUAGCUAAUUUCUGGCUGAGCUGGGCUCCGGUGCCAGCCCCUCCGGCGACCUGCCAUUGUGUUGGGCGCUGACCGGCAGGAGCCCUCUGUUGUAGGAGGGCUUUCCCAGCAUGCACUUCUCCGCCAGAGAGCUCAUCUGAGGUCAAAACGACAGCCCAGGCCAGUGGCUUGUCCCAGCUUGUCAGAACUGCGGAGGCCAGGGAGGGGGACAAAAGCAGUCAUCAUCGUAUAUAAAAAAAGUAAUUGGACAGGGG